UAAGGAAUAUUGCGCAAUGGACGAAAGUCUGACGCAGCGACGCCGCGUGGGGGAUGAAGGUCUUCGGAUUGUAAACCCCUUUCGGGAGGGAAGAUGGAGUGGGUAACCACUUGGACGGUACCUCCAGAAGCAGCCACGGCUAACUUCGUGCCAGCAGCCGCGGUAAUACGAAGGUGGCAAGCGUUAUUCGGAUUUACUGGGCGUACAGGGAGCGUAGGCGGCAAUUCAAGUCAUCUGUGAAAUCUCCGGGCUUAACUCGGAACGGUCAGAUGAUACUGCUUUGCUAGAGUGCAGAAGGGGCAAUCGGAAUUCUUGGUGUAGCGGUGAAAUGCGUAGAUAUCAAGAGGAACACCUGAGGUGAAGACGGGUUGCUGGGCUGACACUGACGCUGAGGCGCGAAAGCCAGGGGAGCAAACGGGAUUAGAUACCCACGUAGUCCCUGAGCGGGCUGGCAAGGCGCAU
rnacentral:rRNA from 1 species